CGCACGGGGUGUGGCGGGGGGGGUGGGGCGGGCCGCGACGGGACCCCUCGCUCGGGAGUCUGGGGGUGCACGGGGGUCUGGCCCCGAGCAAAGACCCCUCCUCACAUGGGGGUCCGGCCGCCUCGCACGGGGGUCCGGCCCGAGCCACGACCCCCCUCGUGCGAGGUCUCGUCCUCAUGGGGGGGGCUGGCCUCGCGCGAGGUCCGGUGGCACUCAAGGACCCCCGCCCUGCACGAGGAGGCAGCACCGAGCAACGAGCUGGCCUGAGGGGGACAGCGCGGUGCGAGGGGCUCGCACGACGACCCGCGGUGGCACCAGGGCACGGUGUCACACGGGAGCUGUGGCGCCCAGGCCGCGUGUCACAUGAGGCUGUGGCGGCACCAGGCCGCGGUGUCAUACGAGGACCCGCGGUGGCACCAGGGCACGGUGUCACACGAGGAGCUGUGGCGGCACCAGGCCGCGGUGUCAUACGAGGACCCGCGGUGGCACCAGGGCACGGUGUCACACGAGGAGCCUGGGGGCACCAGGCCACGGUGUCACACGAGGAGCUGUGGGGGCACCAGGCACCUGUCACCACGGGACCUGUCGAGGAUCCGUCACCCGGCACCACACGUGGGGACCUCGCCCGAGGAUCCAUCACCUGGCGCCACACGUGGGGACCUCGCCUGGGGACCUCGCUCAGCCGUGUCCCCCCUCGCACCAGGACUUUGCACCCGGACCUUGCACGGGCGGCCCCUCGUGCCCCCGCCCUGCGUGGGGGCGUUUGGGGAGGAUCCCUCAGCCGCAUUCUGGGGCCCCCCAAAAGCCAUCCCAGGGGGGCCCCGAUGGCCUCGGCAGCACCGAGACGGGGGGGGCGGCACUGACAGCCCCCCAAACUGAGGGGGCCCCCCACAGCAGGGACCCCCCCGAAACGGGGACCCCCCCACAAAGAGACACAUUUUCCUUGUAAUAUAGAUGUAAAUGGACCAGCCCUCCCCCCCCGUCCGGGAAACUGAGGCACGGGGGGGCCUCCCCAAAACCACACCCCCUCUCCGGGGGUCCCCCCAAUGCCAGCGGGGCCCCCCCGGAAGCACAACCCCAGCCGGGGGGGGCCUCGACACGCUGUACAUAGGGAUGGGGGGGCCCCCAAAAUCGGGGGGGCAAUGGGGACCCUUUAACUGUUCUGGGAACCCCCCCCCAAAAUUGACGGGACCCCACGAUCUGGGGACACCCCCGGGGCUUGGGGAUCCUUCCUGGGGUGUUGAGACCCCGCACACAUUUUGGGGACCCCCCCUUCCCCCGGUACUGGGGACCCCCAAGUUCUGGGGAUCCACAGUGAACUUGGGGACCCCACAGGACUGAGGGUCCCCCAUACUUUGGAGACCCCCCCGGACCUUGGGCACCCCCUCCUGGGGUCCAGGGAUCCCCUCCCAGGAUAUUGGGGAUCCCCCAAAUUUGGGGACCCCCCCAGUAUUUGGAGUCCCCUUACUUUGGGGGCCCCUCUGUGUUUUGGGGACCCCCAGGGUAUCAGGGAACUCCCCGGGUUUUGGGGACCCCCCCCAGACCCCCUCAGGGGUUCUGGGGACACACGGGGGGGUCCAGCCCCUCCCCAAGUUUUGGGGUU
ensembl:lncRNA